AACGAACGCUGGCGGCAGGCCUAACACAUGCAAGUCGAGCGGACCCUUCUGGUUUCCCUUCUGACUUGUGAGUACCGCGUUGGCACGUGCCCUUUUCUUCCGAAUGUCCUUUGGCAACUAGUUGUAAUUCCGGAUACGCCCUUUUGUGUAAUUAUUUAUCGGCGAAGGAUCUGCUCGCGUUGGAUUAGGUCGUUUUUGUGGUAAUUGCCUACCAGCCCGACGAGCUAGAGCUGGUUUGAGAGGAUGAUCACCCACACUGGGACUGAGACACGGCCCAGAUGGGUAAGAGAGGAAGAAGUGGGGAAGCUUAGAGAAGGGGGGAAACGCUGAGGUAGACAUGCCGCGUGAGCGAAGAAGGCCUUAGGGGUGUAAAGCUCUUUCAGCGGGGAAGAUAAUGACGGUACCGGGAGAAGAAGCACCGGCUAACUACGUG
rnacentral:rRNA from 1 species